ACAGGAUGGCCCCGCGUCUGAUUAGCUUGUUGGCGGGGUAACGGCCCACCAAGGCAACGAUCAGUAGCCGGCUUGAGAGAGCGGACGGCCACAUUGGGACUGAGACACGGCCCAGACUCCUGCGGGAGGCAGCAGUGGGGAAUAUUGCACAAUGGGGGGAACCCUGAUGCAGCAAUGCCGCGUGGGUGAAGAAGUACUCCGGUAUGUAAAGCCCUAUCAGCAGGGAAGAAAAUGACGGUACCUGACUAAGAAGCCCCGGCUAACUACGUGCCAGCAGCCGCGGUAAUACGUAGGGGGCGAGCGUUAUCCGGAUUUACUGGGUGUAAAGGGAGCGCAGGCGGCGUGGCAAGUCAGAUGUGAAAACCCGGGGCCCAACCCCGGGACUGCAUUUGAAACUGCCAUGCUGGAGUGCCGGAGAGGUAAGUGGAAUUCCUAGUGUAGCGGUGAAAUGCGUAGAUAUUAGGAGGAACACCAGUGGCGAAGGCGGCUUACUGGACGGUAACUGACGCUGAGGCUCGAAAGCGUGGGGAGCAAACAGGAUUAGAUACCCUGGUAGUCCACGCCGUAAACGAU
rnacentral:rRNA from 1 species